rnacentral:rRNA from 1 species
AGCCUGAUCCAGCAACGCCGCGUGAGGGACGACGGCCUUCGGGUUGUAAACCUCUUUUAGCGAGGAAGAAGCGAAAGUGACGGUACUCGCAGAAAAAGCGCCGGCUAACUACGUGCCAGCAGCCGCGGUAAUACGUAGGGCGCAAGCGUUAUCCGGAAUUAUUGGGCGUAAAGAGCUCGUAGGCGGUUUGUCACGUCUGCUGUGAAAACUGGAGGCUCAACCUCCAGCCUGCAGUGGGUACGGGCAGACUAGAGUGCGGUAGGGGAGAUUGGAAUUCCUGGUGUAGCGGUGGAAUGCGCAGAUAUCAGGAGGAACACCGAUGGCGAAGGCAGAUCUCUGGGCCGUAACUGACGCUGAGGAGCGAAAGGGUGGGGAGCAAACAGGCUUAGAUACCCUGGUAGUCCACCCCGUAAACGUUGGGAACUAGAUGUGGGGUCCAUUCCACGGAUUCCGUGUCGCAGCUAACGCAUUAAGUUCCCCGCCUGGGGAGUACGGCCGCAAGGCUAAAACUCAAAGGAAUUGACGGGGGCCCGCACAAGCGGCGGAGCAUGCGGAUUAAUUCGACGCAACGCGAAGAACCUUACCAAGGCUUGACAUAUACGAGAACGGGCGAGAAAUCGUCAACUCUUUGGA